rnacentral:rRNA from 1 species
GUGCCAGCAGCCGCGGUAAUACAGAGGUCCCAAGCGUUGUUCGGAUUUACUGGGCGUAAAGGGUGCGUAGGUGGCGGGGUAAGUCUGGUGUGAAAGCUCCGAGCUCAACUCGGAAAAGCAUUGGAAACUAUCCCGCUUGAGGGUCGGAGGGGAGACUGGAAUUCUCGGUGUAGCAGUGAAAUGCGUAGAUAUCGAGAGGAACACCAGUGGCGAAGGCGAGUCUCUGGACGACUCCUGACACUGAGGCACGAAAGCUAGGGGAGCAAACAGGAUUAGAAACCCUCGUAGUCC